rnacentral:rRNA from 1 species
GACGAACGCUGGCGGCGUGCUUAACACAUGCAAGUCGAACGGAAAGGCCCUGCUUUUGUGGGGUGCUCGAGUGGCGAACGGGUGAGUAACACGUGAGUAACCUGCCCUUGACUUUGGGAUAACUUCAGGAAACUGGGGCUAAUACCGGAUAGGAGCUCCUGCUGCAUGGUGGGGGUUGGAAAGUUUCGGCGGUUGGGGAUGGACUCGCGGCUUAUCAGCUUGUUGGUGGGGUAGUGGCUUACCAAGGCUUUGACGGGUAGCCGGCCUGAGAGGGUGACCGGCAACAUGGGGACUGGGAUACGGCCCAGACUCCUACGGGAGGCAGCAGUGGGGAAUAUUGCACAAGGGGCGGAAGCCUGAUGCAGCAACGCCGCGUGCGGGAGGACGGCCUUCGGGUGGUAAACCGCUUUCGCCUGUGACGAAGCGUGAGGGACGGUAAUGGGUAAAGAAGCACCGGCUAACUACGU